GUUCCUUGGAAAAGGACAGCUGAGAGGGUGACACUCCCGUCCGCCCGGUAGAGUGAGUCUUUGUCAACGAGUCGAGUUGUUUGGGAUUGCAGCUCUAAUUUGGUGGUAAAUUCCAUCUAAAGCUAAAUAUUGGUGGGAGACCGAUAGCGUACAAGUACCGUGAGGGAAAGAUGCAAAGAACUUUGAAAAGAGAGUUAAAGAGUACCUGAAAUUGCUGAAACGGAAGCGAAGGAAACCAGUGUUUGUUGGUUCAUAUUUCCCUUGUCACUUGUGAUGUGGGCGCUGUGAGCUUGCGUGGGUUUGCUUUGGUUGAUUCCUUUGGAAGAGCGCAGUCAGAGUUGAUGUCU
rnacentral:rRNA from 1 species